rnacentral:rRNA from 1 species
UGAGGAAUAUUGGUCAAUGGACGCAAGUCUGAACCAGCCAAGUAGCGUGCAGGAUGACGGCCCUAUGGGUUGUAAACUGCUUUUAUAUGGGGAUAAAGUGGGGAACGUGUUCCCUUUUGCAGGUACCAUAUGAAUAAGGACCGGCUAAUUCCGUGCCAGCAGCCGCGGUAAUACGGAAGGUUCGGGCGUUAUCCGGAUUUAUUGGGUUUAAAGGGAGCGUAGGCCGUUUGGUAAGCGUGUUGUGAAAUGUAGGAGCUCAACUUCUAGAUUGCAGCGCGAAAUGUCAGACUUGAGUGCGCACAACGUAGGCGGAAUUCAUGGUGUAGCGAUGAAAUGCUUAGAUAUCAUGAAGAACUCCGAUUGCGAAGGCAGCUUACGGGGGCGCAACUGACGCUGAAGCUCGAAGGUGCGGGUAUCGAACAGG